GGAGAAGCUGGCCGAGCCGGGGGUCCGCGCGGGACGGCGCCGCGGGGGCCGCAUCCCCACCAUGGGCUGCCUGGACUCGCACGGAGAGGAUGUGAGGAAGACCUGGAGACGGUGAGUCCCGCUUCUGCUGCUGCUUCCUUGUUACCUUCCCACCUGGCCCACAGCUUUGCUCCCACCUAGAGGCAAGUUUUGGGGGUGUUGGCCUCACCCUUUCCCGCUCCGGAGAACCCAGUGAGUUAGGAGCGGGGACAUCAGAAUCAGCUUCAGGAGGCAGAAGGGUACCCAGUGGCUUCCCGCCCCUUCCCCUCAUCUGUCCAGGUUUAAUGUCGCCACGCCCAAGUCAUCUAACUCGGAGGAAGAGCUCCCUGAAGAGUACCCUGUGGUCAAAAACAUGCUUCACAGACUGACAGGUACGGGGGAGGAGGGCGGGAACUCCAUGAGCAUGGGUGUUAGGUGUGCUCUAUUGUAGCUCUAGAAAGCGUGCAUCCUGGCUGGAUGUGGCAGCGCACGCCUGUAAUCCCAGCACUCUGGGAGGCUGAGGCAGGAGGAAUGCAAGUUUGAGCCCAGCCCGGGCAACAGUGAUUUAGUGAGACUGCCUACUCAAAAUGUUAAAAAAUGUUUAGAAGGCCUGCAGUAUCCCUCAGGGCAAAGGCCAUGGGCUCAAUUGCUAGUACUGAAUAAAUAAAUAAAUCUAAAAAUUUACAAACAUUCCUCCUUUUUUCCCACCCUCAUUUAAAGUUUACCUCUGUAGGCCGGUAGUGGUGGCACACACCUGUAUUCCCAGCAGUCAGGAGGCUGAGGCAGAAGGAUUGCCAAGAGUUCAGUGCCAGCAUGGACUACCUACUGAGACCCUGUCUCAAAAAACAAAACAAAGCAAAACAAAGUUUACCCCUGUAGAGACCCUAUUUCCAAAUAAGGUCAAUCUGGAGAUAUGAAGGGAUGUUACCAUAUUUGGUGGGGGCACAAUUUACCCUAGAACAAUGUCCGACCUCACUCAGUUGCUCGUAUUCCAGCCAUUCCCUCUUCCAUGGUCACAGGCAGCAUGCUCUGGAGGGAGCUUCCACCCCUGCAGUCCCCUUUCCUCUCUUGCCCCUCCCAGGGCUGCUUUCUGUCAUCCUUCCAAGUGCUCAGAGAAGACUCUUGGUCACCUUGGCCCCGAAUCCUGACAGCUUCUAGGACCCUGCUCGGGAAUCUUUCCCCAAACAGCCCACACCUCCGAGGCCAGCGGUUUGCUCUCUGGACCCUCCGUCUGGCUCCAUCUCGCUGCUCUGCCCCGCGGACCGUACAGGAGGCCUGCCAGCCUCCACUCGUGCCGUGGGAGGUGGCUGGUUCUGCAGGGCUCUCUGGUCCCUCUCUGCCCCUACCCGCUGUCGCUGGGUUCCGGUGUCGGUGGCAGUCUUUCUCUGCAGAUCCGUCACCGGUCCCGCUGACCCGGCUCCCGGGCCCAUUCCAGAUGCUGCAGAUUGGAGUGUUAGUCCUGCUUCCUCCAAAGGCGGCAGCGCAGCCCGUCUUCCUGCUCCGAUUCGGAGCUGUGGCCCUGCCCUGGGCCGCACGGUCCUCCGGUCCAGUUAGGCCCCUUGCUUUCAGCCCCAGAGCUCCCUGGGGUUUGCAGCCGGGUCUCUCGCGCGCCCUGGCGUCCCCACCCCCGACUCGGAAACCUCCCUCACGGGCCUCUCCUGCUCCCCCAGCCGACCUGACGCUGGACCCGGGCACCGCGCACCGCCGCCUGCUCGUCUCUGCCGACCGCCGCGGCGUCCGCCUGGCCCCACCCGGGACGCCAGCGCCCCCAGACGGCCCCGAGCGCUUUGAUCAGCUCCCGGCGGUGCUGGGCGCUCAGGGCUUCGGCGCUGGGCGCCACUGCUGGGAGGUGGAGACUGCCUCCUGCAGAGACGCCCCCGGGGAGGACGCGGAAGACGCCCAGAGCCACUACGCCGUGGGCGCGGCCGGGGAGUCGGUGCCACGCAAGGGCUGCGUCCGGCUGUGCCCCGCCGAGGCCAUCUGGGCCCUGGAGGGCCGCGGCGGCCGCCUCUGGGCCCUCACGGCCCCGGAGCCCACCCUGCUGGGCGGCGCCGGGCCGGAGCCCCGCUGCAUCCGCGUGGACCUGGACUGCGAGCGCGGCCGCGUGGCCUUCUACGAUGGCCGCUCGCUCGACCUGCUCUUCGCCUUCCAGGCGCCCGGGCCCCUGGGGCAGCGCAUCUUCCCGCUGCUCUGCACCUGCGACCCCCGCACCCCGCUGCGCCUGGUGCCUGGAGAGGGCUGAAAGUCUGGACCCAAGACCCCCGGGGCUGCUUCCCCUUGGGUGCAGAGACCCCACUCAUUUCUGGGACCACGUCCGAAUGCCUGUGGCAGGGCUAUUGGCCUGGGUGAGAACAUUGAAAGACCCUAGGGUUGCUGCAGAUCAACAGUCCCCACUGGAGAAAAAGAUCUUGGUAAAUAAGUUAUCUUCACAACAUAUAAUUUGGGAUUACUCAGACAACAAACUUUGGUUUAAAAUCCUUCUAUCCAAGUUACAUCAUCAGCAGGGCAUGGUGGCACACACCUGUAAUCCCAGCCCUCAAGAGGCUAAGGCAGGAGAAUCGCUUUGAGUUCAAGUCCAGCCUGGGCUACAUAGUGAGUUAAGGGAUACUCUGAGCUACAUGGCCAGACCCUGUCUCAAAAAACCAAAAAAAAAAAAAAAAAAACAACCCACAAAAAGCCAGGUUACCAUCAGGUAGCAUUGCUACACUGGCUAAUAUUUCCCAGCCAUUUCUAUAGUUACAAAACAAAGUAUGGGCUGAGGAUUUAGCUCAGUGGUGCCUAUGUUCUAACCAAGCAAGUAGGAACUGUAGAGAUAGAUGUGCCACACUCUGAGUCAGAUUUGAAGUUUAUUUAAAGCCGGCGACCGAGAGGGCCUAGUGCCCAGAAAGAACUCUCAGCAUUGAGAAGCAGUUUGAUUUCUCCUUUUAGACCAUGCUUCCAGUUGGGGAGGGCUCAAGGGGGAGAUCAAGUGGAAUUUUAAGAAGCAGAACCAUGCCAGGUUAGUGGGGGCCAAGAGGAAGUUUCACAUACUGGGUGAGCUACAAAACUUCCUGUAGCUGCAGCAAGUUUUCUGCCAAACAGGAUGUGGGUUUUGGGUGCUUUGUGCAGCACAAGCACAAAAUGGUGGUGAGGCUGAAGAUGGAGUCGGGCUGGCUGUCACACCAAGCCUGCCUCGAAAAAUGCAAGGUCCUGAGUUCGACUGGGGGAGAAAAAGUAUUAGUUUGAAAUCUGCCAACAGUAUAAAUUUUUUAAACUAGUUACUGACUUGUGGUGGGUACUUCAUACUUUUAGAGCUCUCAGCCUUGUCUGGGAUUAAGGGGAGUCAAAAUUACAUGAAAGUAAAUGAAACAGAAUGUAUCUUCUUGGUGUUGGAAGGGAUAGGCUCCUGUUUAAAUGUGUUAAAAAAAAAAAGAUGAUCACGUUAUAAAACCCCAAACCUUUGACAGAACCUAGGUGGGAUGCAUACAACAGCAGCAAGAUACUUGAUAACUCAGAAACAUCAAGAGGAGUAUGAAACACUCUGUAGGGAGCAGGCUUGUUCUCUUGACUACUGGCUUGCUAAAGCAGAGUCCUACUAUAAUAAAAGAACAAUGGACAUAAUGGAAAGAGAGGCAACGGGCAAUGAAAUGAAGAUGAAAAUGGAGGAGGAAACAACCCUAAGCAUAGAGGAACAAAAGCAUUACUAUGUAAUAACCGAGAGAGAGAGGAACAGAUAGAAAGGCACAUACAUCGAACAGGCCAGGCCACAGGAUUUAAGAACAGAACAUUUAGACAGCCACAACCCCUCCGUGAAACGUUACCAGAAGCUACCCCAGAAAAGCAUGGUAUCCAGAAAGCACAGAGAAGAAAGCAGGUGAAUGAAAGAGAACAGAUGCAAAUUAAGGAUCACCAGGAACGCAUGAUUUGAGGGAGAGAACUUAUACAGCAAAGACUCAAGGAAAGAAUCCUGAGAAAAAGCCAGAGCCAGCCACCUACAUGUGAAAAGUGUGGGAGAGCACAGAAAGACAUCGGGGAGCUUGAGAGAGUCACUGCAUAUCCACUUUUCCAGCCAUGCAGUAGAAGUCGGGUGCAAGCGACUGCUCUUAUGGAAAAGCCUCAGACUAGAGAGGAAGUGGAUACAAUUCUAAAACCAAGUGAAGGAAAACGCUUGGCUCUACUCCCCUUUUGGGGACAUCAAAUAGGAAAAUAAAACAUUAAUAAAUGUCA